UGAAAGCCCAGUCUCCAUGCACAGCCGCGGUGGGAACUUGUUCCCAUGAGCGGUUAUGCAUGAGAGACGCUACCCCGAAUGAGCAAAAAAGCCAUGCGAACGAAGAGAGCGGGGCGAUUUGCGAAUGCGGGGAAGGAUUGCGGGAGUGCGCAGCACGGAGCAAUCCGUGGGCUUUCA
rnacentral:sRNA from 1 species